AAUAAUAUUCACGGUAAUAAAAGCGGAAUAAUAAUGUAGCACCGAGAUACGGUAAUUAACAAGAAUAAAAGAGUAACAAUGACACCAAGAUUUUACGUGGAAAACCCUUCUGAAUAAGGGAAAAAACCACGGCUGUGAGAGGAGCAACUGAUAUCACUAUAGUAAGAGAAUUUUUACGCUUUGUAGGUCCGAAAAAAAUACUCCAAAGACCACUACAACACUCAAAAGAAAUAACCCUCUUUUGAUAUUCCACCUC
rnacentral:lncRNA from 1 species